AUCUAAGUACCCCGAGGAAAAGAAAUCAACCGAGAUUCCCCCAGUAGCGGCGAGCGAACGGGGAGGAGCCCAGAGCCUGAAUCAGCAUGUGUGUUAGUGGAAGCGUCUGGAAAGGCGCGCGAUACAGGGUGACAGCCCCGUACACAAAAGCGCAUGUGCUGUGAGCUCGAUGAGUAGGGCGGGACACGUGGUAUCCUGUCUGAAUAUGGGGGGACCAUCCUCCAAGGCUAAAUACUCCUGACUGACCGAUAGUGAACCAGUACCGUGAGGGAAAGGCGAAAAGAACCCCGGCGAGGGGAGUGAAAAAGAACCUGAAACCGUGUACGUACAAGCAGUGGGAGCACCCUUUUGGGUGUGACUGCGUACCUUUUGUAUAAUGGGUCAGCGACUUAUAUUCUGUAGCAAGGUUAACCGAAUAGGGGAGCCGGAGGGAAACCGAGUCUUAAU
rnacentral:rRNA from 1 species